GGUGUGGUGGCUGAGUGGUAAAGCGCUUGGCGUCCGAACCAAGGGGUCUCUAGUUCGAAUCUUGGUGAAAACU
rnacentral:tRNA from 1 species